rnacentral:rRNA from 1 species
AUUGAACGCUGGCGGCAGGCCUAACACAUGCAAGUCGAACGAGUGGCGGACGGGUGAGUAAUGUCUGGGAAACUGCCCGAUGGAGGGGGAUAACUACUGGAAACGGUAGCUAAUACCGCAUACCAUCGGAUGUGCCCAGAUGGGAUUAGCUAGGAGGUGGGGUAAAGGCUCACCUAGGCGACGAUCCCUAGCUGGUCUGAGAGGAUGAACAGCCACACUGGAAAUGAGACACGGUCCAGACUCCUACGGGAGGAAGCAGGGGGGAAUAUUGGACAAUGGGCGCAAGCCUGAGGCAGCCAUGCCGCGUGUAUGAAGAAGGCCUUCGGGUUGUAAAGUACUUGCAGCGGGGAGGCGUUACCCGCAGAAGAAGCACCGGCUAACUCCGUGCCAGCAGCCGGGGUAAUGC